CUUGCAGGAGAACCUGGAAUGCAGGGAGGAUGUGGCCGCUUGUCCCAGCUAUACCACCUGAGUUGGACCCAAAAGGUGAUCUGUGCUUCCCAUGCAGAGUGUUUUUCACGUGUUCUUGCCACUUCCCGGAGGACUGGGAGCUUGUUGAAAGCAAGACACCCCAGAGGAAAAGAUUCUUUCUUAUGAUGGGUCACAAGGAAGCAGAGCCCAGCACCUUGUCGUGAGCAGCCUGGCCUGGGAACCUCUCUGAUCACUGCCUGUGUGACAUUCCAGCUCUGUUUCAGAGAGCAAAGGAAAUGCAGGAUGGAGAACAGAAUACUCUCGUGACUUGGCAGUGAAUAUUUUCAAGCAGAAGAAUCUAGAGGUAAUUAAGAAAAGUGAAGAUCUGAUGCAGUCCUUUUACUACCAAGCAGCUUCUAAUCAGAAACGUUCUAUAGAUAUUAGCACCUAUAUUUUGCACCAUAACACUACAACAUCUUGUUGCUAGUAGUGUGGCUAUAGCAAGAAAAUAAGGCUGUUGUGAAAUCUUAAUUGGAAAAAGAAUUGAAAAUAACUGUACUUGAAUACAUAACCUUGGUGGCAAGUGCUUAGUUGCCAUGGAGAUUGGCAAAGACUUGCAAUAUAGAUAUCUAAUCUUCAGAAAAAUUCAAAAGAGUACUGGUAUACAGAAAUACCUUCCCUGUAAUUUGGAGCAGUUUCAUAGACUGUCCAUCAAAAAUUGGCAUUUCAAAAAAUCAGGAGUGUGACUGAUAUGAGACAUAGUGAUUUAAUCCAAUUUGUGAAAAACAAGGAAUUGUCACAUGCAGCAAUGAACAGAGAGCAAUUCUGACAUGGCAAAGGCAUAGACUCCCACUCACCUUCAGGAAAAUGUCUCAUUGAGAUUCAGCUCCCAACAGCACUUCAGUGGAAGCUAUACCUUUUUAAUGAAACUUAAAACCUUUGUAGAUACAUUGUGACUUUCUUUUGCCUGGAUACGUUUGACACUCAAGCCCAAGAGACCUUCUUAGAGCCCCCACCACAAAAGUCACAAUGGCAGGCUUGAUUGUGGUGUCCCAGGAGGGUGGCAAUUGCAGCUGGACCAACUGAUAGCAGCAAAAAGUAUGAAGGGAUGGAAGUACCUCAGAGUACUCUUCUGGUGCGAAGAGUUUCCCAUCCAAUUUCAAGUAAAAUGAGAGAGACUUAGUCCAUGGUACUAACUCACUGAAACAUCUCUAACUGGUUGGCUUCCCUCUAACUAAAUAAUAACGGACAUUAUUAUGAACAACACUACUCAAAUGGAUUAGAGACAUACACAAUCUGAUUCUGGUUCACUCUCGUUUUAACACUGGUGUAAAACUGGACUGACAUAGUUGUGAUCCAGGCCCCUGGACCAAACUACACCUAAAAAAUACCAUUGUGGUUUGUGUGCUGUGCUGUAAAGGACAGGACUGGCAUAGAGAUAUACCUCUGCUGCAGGUUUAUGGUCUGGAUUUAGAUCAGCCUCAGAUGUUGA